CGAAAAAUCCACUGAGCCCCAUAUUGAAGAUGACGUACUCGAGGUGAAGUAGCAGAGAAGCAGAAGGAAGAUGACGUACUUGAGGGACACCUCUCCGGAGAGCCGAGGGCUGUGCAAUUGUUUGUCGGGGCUAGCAUAGGCGAACCUCUGCCGGUGUGAUCACCCUGCGAGGAAGAUCACGCUGGAGUUCUGGAGCUAGAAGUCAUCAAGAUUAAGGUAGGAUCCCGGUGGUGAUCUUGUGAUGUACAAUCAUUCAUGAUGAAGUAAUAGAUAUGUUCAUGUUCUUAGCGAUCUAAGUAUCUCCUUUCAUGAUUUUAUGCUUUAUCGGGUUUGCUUGCUUUUCAAUCUAUGAAUCGAUGAUAGAUUGGCUAGGGUGUUCUUGUGGUCGUGGUGACCAAAUUUGCAUGCUUGAUCUACCGAUGAGUAUGACAUGUUCUUAUGAUCAUGCCCUUAACCUGCUUGCGCUUAUAGAGGUGAUCGGAUCUUUCUUGUGUAAGGUGGGGUUUUUAUGAUCCGGACUGGAGGUGUAGAUUUGAAGAUAUUUUUUUUACUAAGAUCAUAUAUGUGUUGCUUUGCUACCCAUGCUCAGAAUUAGAACAUAUACAUAGUCUAGGUUGCUUUAGAUUGGUUACCUUUGCUCUAUCUGUUAUCUGUCUGUACAUGCUUAGUUGAUUGGGUCUGAAUCUCUCAUAAACACCAAGUUAAUACUAACAACACUAGUUGAAAUAGAUCUUGUGCUAUAAGUUCCACGGCUUGAUAAACCUUGGAGGAAUACUCUGAGGGAAGAGCUACAGCUGAUCCGUACAUUUGUAGUUCACAAAUUGGCGUGCUAACAGCCAUCAACACCCUGUCAUCACGGAGUCACGCCUGGAGGUUUGGCGACUACAUGAGCGUGAGACUGUCGGGGGUGCCGCUAUAAAGGCUUCGGCUCUGUGUUGUUGCGAGUUGAUUGGUGUAGUGUGCUCUGUUGCCGUUGUUUGAGUGGAGUGGUGCGACCGCGUUGAUGUCCCAAUCCAACUAGUCGGUUUUGGCGGUUUAGAGUUGAGUGGUUACCCGUGUUGACGUCCCAAUCUAACUGGGCGAGUCUAGUUGUUUUUCCUUUUCUUUUUUUUCCUGACUAUAGCCUUCCAGGGCUGUAGUCUUGUAUUUUUUUUCUGCUAUGUCAAUAGAAACUUGCACUAUCUAAAAAAGAUUCAAUUUCUCAUAAUAAGUUGCCUAGGUAUGUAGGCAACCUGUUAAUUCAGGCUCUUUCAAAUCCAAACUAUCAAUCACAGCAUUAACUAAAAAUCGCCAUCUGCCAGUCAUAUCCAUCACUGUUUUCUCUGCCGGUUUUCUAAUGACUUUCUGCCAUGAAUGGAACAG
rnacentral:lncRNA from 1 species